AACGAACGCUGGCGGCAUGCCUAACACAUGCAAGUCGAACGAGACCUUCGGGUCUCGUGGCGCACGGGUGCGUAACGCGUGGGAAUCUACCCUCAGGUUCGGAAUAACUCAGAGAAAUUUGAGCUAAUACCGGAUGAUGACGUAAGUCCAAAGAUUUAUCGCCUGAGGAUGAGCCCGCGUAGGAUUAGGUAGUUGGUGAGGUAAAGGCUCACCAAGCCGACGAUCCUUAGCUGGUCUGAGAGGAUGAUCAGCCACACUGGGACUGAGACACGGCCCAGACUCUGACGGGAGGCAGCAGUGGGGAAUAUUGGACAACGGGCGAAAGCCUGAUACAGCAAUGCCGGGUGAGUGAUGAAGGCCUUAGGGUUGUAAAGCUCGUUUACCCGGGAUGAUAAUGACAGUACCGGGAGAAUAAGCUCCGGCUAACUCCGUG
rnacentral:rRNA from 1 species